rnacentral:lncRNA from 1 species
GUAACUUUGAAGGCUUGCUGCUUUCCCACCUUGGGGCUCUGGUCAUCAAUUUCCUUCAGCUCAGGUUUUUCAGCUGCUGCUGUUUUGAUUGACAUCUGUCAGUCAACACAACCUGUCAUACACAACCAGAUGACACGGCUGGAUGCAACAAGCAGAGCUGCUGUCUGCUCAGAGCCAACCCUCAGGACUUCCCAAGUGUUCGCUGUCUUGGUAUCUGCUCCACUCUCCGUCAAGGACAUCCAGCUUCCUCACAGAGGCCAGCACAGGCUCCAGGUAGCGGCUGAGCAGAAAAAGCCUAGAAGGCUCCAUAGUUUGCAGAGCCCAUAACUUACCAAGAAAAUAAACCCGUG